GGCACAGAAACACUAACCUCCACCCAAGCUUUGUUGGAGGUGUGCUUGUCUCCAGUAUUGUCCUCUUGGAUGGAUCUUGUGUCUUUGCUGUGUGUUUCCUGGAUGAACCUUUUGUGCCCUUGUUUCAAGUCUUGUUUCUGGACUAAUCUUUUCUGUUCCUGGCUGGACUUCCUGGGCCUGAUUUAUCCCCUUGUAGUGCCUGAAACUGUUGGCAAAACCUGUUACCAGCACCCAGCUGUGCUGUCUUCAGCCUCUGUAGGACUGUGCCUUCAGAGAGGGCCCUGCUUGUGCUGGAUCUAGCCUUGGUUGCUGGCUUGCCCUCCUUUCCCUUGGGGAGCAGCCCCCAGUAGUUCAGUGUCCAGAUGCUGGCAAAGGCACUUAACUGACAGAUGAGUCACUGUGUCUUUGUGCUGCAGCUUGUUCCUCCAUUAAAUAAAGAAAAACCAGUUUGGGGAAUCUUGCAAGUCAUGAGAAUAUGCUCUUCUGUGACUAUGGAGUCACUGAACCUAAUUCUGUUUAUAACAACUUAACAAGCUCAGCUCUGAGGAGACAUUCCACAUCCUCUUCCCUCUGCUUUAAAUAGGACAUUUCUUAAGCAAAAUCACAUCUGCUUUCAUGGUGAAUGCUUCAUGAAGGUAGGAUUUCCCUUCCACAUCUCUUCUACAGAGACAUUUUCCAUCUACAGUGAUGUCUUUAUGUCUUCCAAAAGAAUAUGAGCUUUGGAUCACUACAUUAAUCUAGCUCUGAAACUUGGUCUUGGCACUGGGCUAUUUUUCCAUUUAUUAUUUUUACUCAGGACAAAUGGAGCUUGUAUUUGCACUCUAAUUCUAGCAGGGUUGGGAGGGAAAAUCCACGAAGAGCCUUAAUGUGGUCAUUAGUGUAUCUUGCUCUCAUUUUUGACUUUUUUCAUAUCCUCAACAUUUUUAUCUUUUGCUUCCUAUGCGUAUGUGCAUGUGCUAGCUCUAAACCAUUAAAUCAGACCUCAAAUGUCAUCUUACCAACUUAGGGA